AAUUACCCUCCAGAUUAUAUGAUAAAACUGGAAUCAUCUAGAGAAGAUUAACGUGGCCUCUGCAUAAAUAUAACAUGCACAAGACAAGAAACGGCCGAAAAAAUU
rnacentral:snRNA from 1 species